UAAAAGAUAAUCCGAAGAUCGAAAAAAAAAAAAGAAGGUACGCCUCCUCUUCUUUCCAUAAAUGCUGGCUCUUUUUCACCUAUUACGGAAAAUCUGACUUGAGCAUCAAAGGAUCUUUGCUGGAGCCAACUCUGAUAGAAAUUUUUCUUGCAGGUCCGACCACUGUCGACACACCGAACGUCAACUCGCUCCAAUACCUCUGGCUCAGGAUGGAUUCCAGACGCAACAGAUUGACGCUAGAGGAAGCGCCCUUACCCACUUUUGGAAAAGAAUGCACAACCCAUUGUCGUACUGCCGCGAAGAGUAUCCUUAGGGCAUUCUAACCCAAAGACCGCUCACCGACAGUAGUUUUGGUCGGAGAUUAUAAUCCAUGUGAGCUACCAGAGGCGUCCCCAUAAUCCUCUUUGCCGGUUCCCAGAGAAAACAAAGUUGGAAGGCCAAGUGAGGCUCUUGAGGAUGUUCAAUAGGGGACAGAAAAUCUUUGACAAGACAAGUUGGGAUAGUACGGCUAAAGUGGAUAGGGGUGGCCUCUCCCUAACGCUCUAUUCAUGGCUUCCUCCUUUGAUGACGGCAC
rnacentral:lncRNA from 1 species